GGAAUUAAACAAGACUUCUUUAACCAAUAAUGCCAUUUUGGAGAACUUGCGACAAAUGAUGAUCGCUCAUGUGGUGGAAAGGAAUAAGGGCAGCAGCAGUUCAAAUGAGGGUGGAAGCAGAGUCGAAAACAGGGGAAUGCAAUCUAACCCUGUAGUGUAGCCAGUUCCUGUAGUACAUUCAGUCCCUAUAAUCCAAUCAAUUCCUGCAGAUAAUAGGGGAUUAUUACCUAUUCCUAACAUGGGUGGUAUGUCUCCAUUAUUGCCUAAAAUUGAAUUAGUUACUUUUGAAGGUAAAGAACCUAGGGCUUGAUUGAGAAAAUGUGUUAAGUAUUUU
rnacentral:misc_RNA from 1 species